UCUCUGAUGUUAGCGGCGGACGGGUGAGUAACACGUGGAUAACCUACCUAUAAGACUGGGAUAACUUCGGGAAACCGGAGCUAAUACCGGAUAAUAUUUUGAACCGCAUGAUUCAAAAGUGAAAGACGGUCUUGCUGUCACUUAUAGAUGGAUCCGCGCUGCAUUAGCUAGUUGGUAAGGUAACGGCCUACCAAGGCAACGAUGCAUAGCCGACCUGAGAGGGUGAUCGGCCACACUGGAACUGAGACACGGUCCAGACUCCUACGGGAGGCAGCAGUAGGGAAUCUUCCGCAAUGGGCGAAAGCCUGACGGAGCAACGCCGCGUGAGUGAUGAAGGUCUUCGGAUCGUAAAACUCUGUUAUUAGGGAAGAACAUAUGUGUAAGUAACUGUGCACAUCUUGACGGUACCUAAUCAGAAAGCCACGGCUAACUACGUGCCAGCAGCCGCGGUAAUACGUAGGUGGCAAGCGUUAUCCGGAAUUAUUGGGCGUAAAGCGCGCGUAGGCGGUUUUUUAAGUCUGAUGUGAAAGCCCACGGCUCAACCGUGGAGGGUCAUUGGAAACUGGAAAACUUGAGUGCAGAAGAGGAAAGUGGAAUUCCAUGUGUAGCGGUGAAAUGCGCAGAGAUAUGGAGGAACACCAGUGGCGAAGGCGACUUUCUGGUCUGUAACUGACGCUGAUGUGCGAAAGCGUGGGGAUCAAACAGGAUUAGAUAUCUUGGUAGUCCACGCCGUAAACGAUGAGUGCUAAGUGUUAGGGGGUUUCCGCCCCUUAGUGCUGCAGCUAACG
rnacentral:rRNA from 1 species